rnacentral:lncRNA from 1 species
UUUCAAUUUAAUUUUGCUUCAAUUGCUUGGUGUGCUCUCACAAUGCUGAAGUGAACAGACAGCUUGAAGUGGCUAGUAUCAUUCUAGAGCUACCCAUUAUAUUUAAUAGACAGCUUGUGAAGACUGGGGACAAGUGCAAAGAUGGCUGAUUAGAGAACCUCAGUGUGGACAGGGCUGGAUUAACAAAAAGAAACUGAGAAUAAUUUGUGGUAUGUAGCUCUUCUAAUACCAACAAUCAUAUUCUAUUUAAUUGCACUGGUUGGAAUCAUUCUAUUAUUUGUUUUCUUUGUCAGACCUGGUGGAUGUGGUUUGAAUAUAUUCUUCUUGUGCUCUAUAUUUAUUCUGAGUGUUGCGGUAUCUAUUAUUGCUAUAUUGCCUCCAGU